rnacentral:rRNA from 1 species
GACGAACGCUGGCGGCGUGCUUAACACAUGCAAGUCGUACGGUAAGGCCCUUUCGGGGGUACACGAGUGGCGAACGGGUGAGUAACACGUGAGUAACCUGCCCACAACUUUGGGAUAACGCUAGGAAACUGGUGCUAAUACUGGAUAUGUGCUCCUGCUGCAUGGUGGGGGUUGGAAAGCUCCGGCGGUUGUGGAUGGACUCGCGGCCUAUCAGCUUGUUGGUGGGGUAGUGGCCUACCAAGGCGGCGACGGGUAGCCGGCCUGAGAGGGUGACCGGCCACAUUGGGACUGAGAUACGGCCCAGACUCCUACGGGAGGCAGCAGUGGGGAAUAUUGCACAAUGGGCGCCAGCCUGAUGCAGCAACGCCGCGUGCGGGAUGACGGCCUUCUGGUUGUAAACCGCUUUCAGCAGGGACGAAGCUUUUUGUGACGGUACCUGCAGAAGAAGCACCGGCUAACUACGUG